AUUGAACGCUGGCGGCAGGCCUAACACAUGCAAGUCGAGCGGUAGCACAGAGAGCUUGCUCUCGGGUGACGAGCGGCGGACGGGUGAGUAAUGUCUGGGAAACUGCCUGAUGGAGGGGGAUAACUACUGGAAACGGUAGCUAAUACCGCUUAACGUCGCAAGACCAAAGAGGGGGACCUUCGGGCCUCUUGCCAUCAGAUGUGCCCAGAUGGGAUUAGCUAGUAGGUGGGGUAACGGCUCACCUAGGCGACGAUCCCUAGCUGGUCUGAGAGGAUGACCAGCCACACUGGAACUGAGACACGGUCCGGGACUCCUACGGGAGGCAGCAGUGGGGAAUAUUGCACAAUGGGGCAAGCCUGAUGCAGCCAUGCCGCGUGUAUGAAGAAGGCCUUCGGGUUGUAAAGUACUUUCAGCGGGGAGGAAGGUGCUGAGGUUAAUAACCUCAGCAAUUGACGUUACCCGCAGAAGAAGCACCGGCUAACUCCGUGCCAGCAGCCGCGUAAACC
rnacentral:rRNA from 1 species